rnacentral:rRNA from 1 species
UACGGGGGGAGCAAGCGUUGUUCGGAAUUACUGGGCGUAAAGGGCCAGUAGGCGGCCAACUAAGUCGGAUGUGAAAUCCCCAGGCUUAACCUGGGAACUGCAUCCGAUACUGGAUGGCUUGAAUUCGGGAGAGGGAUGCAGAAUUCCAGGUGUAGCGGUGAAAUGCGUAGAUAUCUGGAGGAAUACCGGUGGCGAAGGCGGCAUCCUGGACCGACAUUGACGCUGAACGGCGAAAGCUAGGGGAGCAAACGGG